rnacentral:rRNA from 1 species
GAGUUUGAUCCUGGCUCAGGAUGAACGCUGGCGGCGUGCUUAACACAUGCAAGUCGAGCGGAGCGCCGCGCACGGAACCCACGGGGGAAGGGCGCGGCGGCUUAGCGGCGGACGGGUGAGUAACGCGUGGGCAACCUGCCCCAUACCGGGGGAUAACAGCCAGAAAUGGCUGCUAAUACCGCAUAAGGCCGCGGCGGCGCAUGCCGCAGCGGCAAAACCUCCGGUGGUAUGGGAUGGGCCCGCGUCUGAUUAGCUAGUUGGCGGGGCAACGGCCACCAAGGCGACGAUCAGUAGCCGGCCUGAGAGGGCGGACGGCCACAUUGGGACUGAGACACGGCCCAAACUCCUACGGGAGGCAGCAGUGGGGAAUAUUGCACAAUGGGGGGAACCCUGAUGCAGCGACGCCGCGUGAAGGAUGAAGUAUUUCGGUACGUAAACUUCUAUCAGCAGGGAAGAAAAUGACGGUACCUGACUAAGAAGCCCCGGCUAACUACGU